rnacentral:lncRNA from 1 species
GAGGAAGCAAAACUGAAAGAGUUUUACCAAUGUACAUAGAACAUCUAUAUUAAAAAGGACUAAUUCCUGCUGAAGGUUGCACUAUUGGCUUCCCUACUUUUGAGGUUUUGGGACUCCGACUGGCUUCCUGGCUCCUCACCUUGCAGAUGGUCUAUUGUGGGACCUCAUCUUGUGAUCAUGUCUCAGUAUGUUGCUCAGACUGGUCUUGAACUCCUGGCCUCAAGUGAUCCUCCCACCUCAGCCUCUUGAGUAGCUGGGACUACAGUUGCAAGCCAUCCUGUCUGGCUAGUUAUCUUUAAUUAAUGACAUUUGUUAAAGUAACACAAAAAUCCUAGAAACAUUUGCCUGUUGAAACUUUCUGAUAAUUUGAAUGAAGUAAAGUUUGGAGUCUCUGUCUCAUUGAAAAUACUCAAGGUUAAUAUAAUAAAAACAGCAAAGCAGUAAUGCAUAAAAGAAUUAUUAGAAGUCUAAUAAAAUUAUUUGGACCUCCAACUAUAGCAACACUGAUUAAUGACUGCUUUUUAAUUAAUUGAAAGUUGUUCAAUCAUCGUGCCAUUUCAUUUCACCUGAGAGUUUUUAUAAAAGGGUCAGAGCCAAAACAUAUGCUAGUUCAAUUUGCAAUAAGGUAUACUUAAGCAAUUUCAUUCUUCUUGGCAGGGCAAGUGUGGGCUAUUCAUUUCUCAUUUAUUCACGGUGAUGAUAUUCCCUGUUCAGCUGGCUAGUGUGAUCAAGGAAGACAG